rnacentral:rRNA from 2 species
CGCCUGUUUAUCAAAAACAUGUCUUUUUGAUUUUGAAAAUAUAAAAAGUCUGACCUGCCCAGUGAAUAUAUUAAACGGCCGCGGUAUUUUGACCGUGCGAAGGUAGCAUAAUCAAUUGUCUUAUAAUUGAAGACUGGAAUGAAUGGUUGAAUGAAAUUAAAACUGUUUCAUUUGUAUUAAUUAGAAAUUGGUUUUUAAAUGAAGAGAUUUAAAUUUGAUUAAUAGACAAGAAGACCCUAUUGAGCUUUAAAUAACUUUAAAAUUAAAAAUUUAUUAUUAGAGAUUUAAGUUUUGAAUGUUUUUUAGUUGGGGCGACUGAGGAACAGUAGAAGCUUCCUUUAUUUGAUAAAUUGACGGAUUUUGAUCCAGUAUUAAACUGAUUAAUGGAAAUAGUUACCAUAGGGAUAACAGCAUAAUCUUCUUGGAGAGUUCUUAUCAAAAAGGGGGGUUGUGACCUCGAUGUUGGAUUAAAAUAUCCUAAAGGUGUAGAGGCUUUUAAGGGUUGGUCUGUUCGACCAUUAAAAUUUUACGUGAUCUGAGUUCAGACCGG